AGUGAACGCUGGCGGUAGGCCUAACACAUGCAAGUCGAACGGCAGCACAGUAAGAGCUUGCUCUUACGGUUGGCGAGUGGCGGACGGGUGAGGAAUACAUCGGAAUCUACUUUUUCGUGGGGGAUAACGUAGGGAAACUUACGCUAAUACCGCAUACGACCUACGGGUGAAAGCAGUGGAUCUUCGGACCUUUCGCGAUUGAAUGAGCCGAUGUCGGAUUAGCUAGUUGGCGGGGUAAAGGCCCACCAAGGCGACGAUCCGUAGCUGGUCUGAGAGGAUGAUCAGCGACACUGGAACUGAGACACGGUCCAGACUCCUACGGGAGGAAGCAGUGGGGAAUAUGGUACAAUGGGCGAAAGCCUGAUCCAGCCAUACCGCGUGGGUGAAGAAGGCCUUCGGGUUGUAAAGCCCUUUUGUUGGGAAAGAAAAGAAGCAGGUUAAUACCCCGCUGCUCUGACGGUACCCAAAGAAUAAGCACCGGCUAACUUCGUG
rnacentral:rRNA from 1 species